GCUCUUGAUUUUGAUGGUCUUAAUGUUACUGCUGAUUUGUACAAUCAUGUCGUCUGCAAACAGGGACAAUUUGACUUCCUCUUUUCCUAACUGAAUACCCUUUAUUUCCUUCUCCUGCCUAAUUGCCCUGCCCAGAACUUCCAACACUAUGUUGAAUAGGAGUGGUGAGAGAGGGCAUCCCUGUCUUGUGCCAGUUUUCAAAGGGAAUGCUUCCAGUUUUUGCCCAUUCAAUAUGAUAUUGGCUGUGGGUUUGUCAUAGAUAGCUCUUAUUAUUUUGAGAUACUUCCCAUCAAUACCUAAUUUAUUGAGAGUUUUUAGCAUGAAGGGUUGUUGAAUUAUGUCAAAGGCCUUUUCUGCAUCUAUUGAGAUAAUCAUGUGGUUUUUGUCUUUGGUUCUGUUUAUAUGCUGGAUUACAUUUAUUGAUUUGCGUAUAUUGAACCAGCCUU
rnacentral:lncRNA from 1 species